rnacentral:rRNA from 1 species
GUCCGAUUUAGCCAUGAGAGUUGCACGUUUAACGUAGCAAACUGCUCAGUAACACGUGGCCAAACUGCCCUAUGGAUCGGUAUAACCUCGGGAAACUGAGGCUAAUCCCGAAUAGUGCAUCCAGCCUGGAACUGGCGGAUGUACGAAACGCCCCGGCGCCAUAGGAUGUGGCUGCGGCCGAUUAGGUAGACGGUGGGGUAACGGCCCACCGUGCCGAUAAUCGGUACGGGUCAUGAGAGUGAGAGCCCGGAGACGGACUCUGAGACACGAGUCCGGGCCCUACGGGGCGCAGCAGGCGCGAAACCUUUACACUGCACGACAGUGCGAUAGGGGGACACCGAGUGCGAGGGCAUAGAGCCCUCGCUUUUGUAGACCGUAAGGAGGUCUACGAAUAAGGGCUGGGCAAGACCGGUGCCAGCCGCCGCGGUAACACCGGCAGCCCGAGUGAUGGCCGAUAUUAUUGGGCCUAAAGCGUCCGUAGCUGGCCGCGCAAGUUCGUCGGGAAAUCCACUCGCUUAACGAGUGGGCGUCCGGCGAAAACUGUGCGGCUUGGGACCGGAAGAUCCAAGGGGUACGUCCGGGGUAGGAGUGAAAUCCCGUAAUCCUGGACGGACCACCGAUGGCGAAAGCACCUUGGAAGGACGGAUCCGACAGUGAGGGACGAAAGCUAGGGUCUCGAACCGGAUUAGAUACCCGGGUAGUCCUAGCCGUAAACGAUGCUCGCUAGGUGUGGCGCAGGCUACGAGCCUGCGCUGUGCCGUAGGGAAGCCGUGAAGCGAGCCGCCUGGGAAGUACGUCUGCAAGGAUGAAACUUAAAGGAAUUGGCGGGGGAGC